CCUACGGGUGGCAGCAGUGAGGAAUAUUUGUCAAUGGACGAGAGUCUGAACCAGCCAAGUAGCGUGAAGGAUGACUGCCCUAUGGGUUGUAAACUUCUUUUAUAUGGGAAUAAAAUGUUCCACGUGUGGGAUUUUGUAUGUACCAUAUGAAUAAGGAUCGGAUAACUCCGUGCCAGCAGCCGCGGUAAUACGGAGGAUCCGAGCGUUAUCCGGAUUUAUUGGGUUUAAAGGGAGCGUAGGUGGAUUGUUAAGUCAGUUGUGAAAGUUUGCGGCUCAACCGUAAAAUUGCAGUUGAAACUGGCAGUCUUGAGUACAGUAGAGGUGGGCGGAAUUCGUGGUGUAGCGGUGAAAUGCUUAGAUAUCACGAAGAACUCCGAUUGCGAAGGCAGUUCACUGGACUGCAACUGACACUGAGGCUCGAAAGUGUGGGUAUCAAACAGGAUUAGAUACCCCUGUAGUC
rnacentral:rRNA from 1 species